rnacentral:lncRNA from 1 species
GUGUAUUUUUUUUUUGUUUCUUUGAUAUUCCAACCACAAAACGUAUAUGGUGGUUGUCAAUGGUAAGGGAUAGUACCCACCUAUGUAGUGUAGGCUUAAUGUUUUAUCUUUUGUUGGUCUUUCGGAAGGGUAAGUUCCUUCUAUUUGUUAUUUGGGGCUUCAUCUUUCUAGAGAAAUAAGCCCAAACAUUAUCAAUGCAUCAAAAGGCUAUUGAUGGUUCAAAU